UCAAGAAGCCGGUGCUUUCCAGGAGAGCCGUGUUAACCCCAGCUCUGUGUGAGCUCUCUUUCUUCAUCCGUCAUGUCCAGUUCUUAACAUAAAUACAGCGACGUGUGGUUUGAGCUCGCCGUGUGGCAUGAUCUCGUGUUUCCUCUUCAAACAGCAGUCUUACGCAAACAAACAGUACACACACUGAGACGCUGUCUCCGCUUUUCACUUCUCAUCGAACGGCUCCUCACGGGGAGGCUGCUUUAAACAGAGAUGAGAGGAGAGUAUUUACCCAAUGUCUGCUCACAGUUUUGCGUCAUCACAGGUCCAUUAUAAGCGGUGUUGUUUGGCCUCGAAACUUUAGAAAAGAAAAAGGC
ensembl:lncRNA